UCUCUCCCUCCCUCACUGAACCUCCUGUAGCAGCAGAAAGACCAGAGGUGGUCGUCUUCUUCUUCUCCGGCAACCAUGGUCGCCGCCACUGCCGCGUUGAUUCUUAAGCCACCACAGCCUUCCCACUCUGUUCUCUCCACCAGCAGACUCCUGGAGCUCUCAGGAAUCCGUUUCCCUUAUCAAUUCCACCGGAGAUGGCCCGUGGGCAAAACACCCAAUUUGCCUCCGCCGGAGCCCUUCGGCCGAGCUCGCCGCUGGCGACUCCCUCCACUCCGGCGACCAAGGAGGGUACCCCCGUGUUCUCCUCGAACUCCUGAGUUCGUGGAUGGCCUCGAUUUUCCAAACGGAGCUGCCAAUCGCCGGCGAGCAUCACCGGAGUGCCACCUCUGUUCGGCCGCAGGAGACGGCACGCGCGUGGACUGGUCAAACCUGACCAGUGGGCCAGGGGGCCCACUAUCAGUGACCCAGCGUGGUGCCAGCUCAUUUUAAGUGGAGAUGUUUUCCUGAAAGUACGUCUCCUCCUCCGGAAAGCGUAUUCCAGGAAAGACGCCUUCGACGUCGCAACCCUCCCACGCAGCCAAACUACUGGGCUCGGCCCAGUAGCGCUAGGCGGCUAUACUGUGCCCAGGGCGCGUUUCUGUUCAGCCCAUCACAGAAAUGGAGGGGAGAUAUAAUUUCCAAAGUUUUGGAGUGCACCUAAUCUUUCUGCAUGCUCAAGGCAAGCAUCUUGAACACAUGAUAUGUUGAUUGCAUAGUUGUUUGUUUGCAUGUAGAAUUGUAUAAUGAAUAUAUUCAACUCAUAUGAAAUUUGCAUAGUAUUGGUCAUACAUGCAUGUUUUCCCCUUGAUGAUAUUCUAUCUCCAUUUAAACAUGAAGUAUGAGUGAGUAUGGUGAUUUUCAUGUAGAGUAUAUGCCUGUGUUGGUCCAGGCUGAUUUGUAGGAAGAAUCAGUCACGAGAAAAGUGACCGUGAGACUGAAAUCUCGUUGUGACGAGAAUGAUCAGUGAGGGUAUGUUGAGACAUACCAGGUGGUGACCCUGUUGGGUACUACCAUGGAAUUGUAUUGUGCUAACCACUGUAGGGAAACAUAAACCUCCUAAGUUGACCAUAGAUCGAGUCUUGUUCCGGUAACCCCCAUACUUGAUUCGUGCUACCACAUGUCCCUGCCAAAGGUAGGGUAUGGUUCAGUAAGUUGAUAACCCCUUUCCUGCACACACCGUACAGAGAGGCCAUAGGGAAUGAUACUAUUGGCCCCAGUAGUCAUCUCACUUGGUCCGGGGGCAUGAAUGACCGGUCUGGGACCGAAGCUGAAUGUUCAUGCUGUUGGAGGCCGUUGCGUGAGGCCUUCCCACUUGAGUUUUACUUUAUCAUUGUUUUGGGUGAUCCCUGGCUUGAAGGAUUAAACUGCUAUGUGCGGUCAGGUGUGUUUUCAUCCCAAAGACCGUAAUCGGAAUUAGUCAACGUCUCAGGGUUGACUAAAGAAAUCCUUUACUUGUGGGUAAAGAGUACACCCUCUAAAGAGUUUUAUAUAUUCGAGUAGCCAUGUCCAUGGUUAGGGACUACAGUCUGGGUUGGUCAAGUGUCGGUCUUAGUGUUAGUGUUCGAAAGAAAUAAUUAAAUUGAUCAUGGUUCGUUCUGCAGGAUAAUUAUUGUCACUAGUGGUGCCAUUAAGAAUAUUAUUGUUGACAUGAAUGUUGUUGUGGACUAACCUUUCCCUCUUAUGUGCAACUUGAGUAUCACUUGGGAUGGCUAGUCCACUUGGAUAGUCGUUUUAUUAUUUUCAUAUAAGCCCUUUAUGAGGCGUCGCUUCAGAUACCCGACUGUGCCAUGUAUUUUCAAGACCUCUUGUGGCGUCGCUUGAGUUCUCGGGUGGUCCUGUCUCGCCCGAUUCUCUUUUAGACACCCGUUUGGCAUUUCUUCGAAUUUCUCAGGCGGUCCAACACCCGACGUUCCGUUUCAUUUCUUUGAUUUACUAGUAACAUGACUUAUUUAUCCUUCCGCACCGUAUGAAUAUUCGUCAUGCCAUGCUUUAAUUCUCAGUCAGCACAUGCAUAUAAUUUAAUUCAUCAUGAGCAUAUGCAUCAGGUAUAUCUUUUGUUCUUGAUGUUUGCGAGUACAUUCAAACAUACUCACUAGUUUGUCCCUGGCUAUUGUCUUGUCCAGAUCAUGACUCAGAGGCGAGAAAUAUGAAGACACCCCGCAACCUAGGAUUCGGAGAUAGCAGCCAUGUGAGAUAGGACUUAUCCAGGUCAGCUGUUCCCGUGGGAAUGGAGUCCCAUCAACAUUGGAGAUCGACGAGUCGCUUCUGUCAUCCACCACUAGAGAUCCUUGUUAUAUUCAUUGGACCUUUGUGGUCUUGUAUCCAAUUUCUUGUAAUUGCUUGGAAUUCUAUAUCAAGGAAAUGUCCACCAGCAACAGUAAUCCUGGGGCUGGUGAUGACACAAGGGUCGUUGUCGGUGUCAAAACCGGUGGAUCUCGGGUACGGGGUCCCGAAUGUGCGUCUAAGGUGGAUGGUAACAGGAGGCGGGGGACACGAUGUUUACCCUGGUU